rnacentral:rRNA from 1 species
AGAGUUUGAUCCUGGCUCAGGAUGAACGCUAGCGGGAGGCCUAACACAUGCAAGCCGAGCGGUAGAGAUUCUUCGGAAUCUUGAGAGCGGCGUACGGGUGCGGAACACGUGUGCAACCUACCUUUAUCUGGAGGAUAGCCUUUCGAAAGGAAGAUUAAUACUCCAUAAUAUAUUUGAUGGCAUCAUUAAAUAUUGAAAGCUCCGGCGGAUAGAGAUGGGCACGCGCAAGAUUAGCUAGUUGGUGAGGUAACGGCUCACCAAGGCAAUGAUCUUUAGGGGGCCUGAGAGGGUGAUCCCCACACUGGUACUGAGACACGGACCAGACUCCUACGGGAGGCAGCAGUGAGGAAUAUUGGUCAAUGGGUGCAAGCCUGAACCAGCCAUCCCGCGUGAAGGACGACUGCCCUAUGGGUUGUAAACUUCUUUUGUAUAGGGAUAAACCUACUCUCGUGAGAGUAGCUGAAGGUACCAUACGAAUAAGCACCGGCUAACUCCGUG